rnacentral:rRNA from 1 species
UACGGAGGGUGCGAGCGUUAAUCGGAUUUACUGGGCGUAAAGCGCAUGUAGGCGGUGUGGCAAGUUAGUGGUGAAAUCCCAGAGCUCAACCUUGGGACUGCCUCUAAAACUACCAUGCUUGAGUGCGAGAGAGGAUAGCGGAAUUCCAGGUGUAGGAGUGAAAUCCGUAGAUAUCUGGAAGAACAUCAGUGGCGAAGGCGGCUAUCUGGCUCGUAACUGACGCUGAGAUGCGAAAGCGUGGGUAGCAAAC